GUACUUUCAAAAUUUCCAUGGGCCUUCAGGUUGAUUGAGAGAAUCAGCCCCAGAAUGAUCGCCAGCAUAAAACCAUCUAUGCUGGCUUUCUCUCUGAUACAUCUCCAGCAGAAGAGUGAUGUACUGCCUCAUGGAGCUCUCAGGUGGAGGUAGAAGUCCAGGUUCCCCACUUGGCCUCCUUGACAUUUGAGAAAAAUAUACUGUAGUUCCAGCUACUCAGAAGGCUGCGGCAGAAGGACUGAGACCAGGAGCUGGAGGCUGUAGUGCACUAUGAUCAGGCCUGUGAAUAGACACUGCACUCUAGCUGGGCAACAUGCUCACAGUGUCAAACCUGUUGGAGCCUGGAAGCAGCUGCCCAAACUCAGAAAGAAUGAAGGGAAAUAAGAAAAAGGGAAAACUGAAGUUAGGAGGAGAUUCAACGUAUCAAAGUAUCGUUUUAUGUUUUUGAGUAACUCCAGAGGCCAAAGUCCGCUUCUCCACAUAAGAUCUUUAAUCCCAGAAGCCCUAUCAUGGGAUCUCUCUGUGUGUCCCACUUGUGAGAGUCUAACCCAGGAGUUCACC
rnacentral:sRNA from 1 species